rnacentral:rRNA from 1 species
GAUGAACGCUGGCGGCGUGCCUAAUACAUGCAAGUCGAGCGAACGGACGAGAAGCUUGCUUCUCUGAUGUUAGCGGCGGACGGGUGAGUAACACGUGGAUAACCUACCUAUAAGACUGGGAUAACUUAGGGAAACCGGAGCUAAUACCGGAUGAUAUUUUGAACCGCAUGGUUCAAAAGUGAAAGACGGUCUUGCUGUCACUUAUAGCUGGAUCCGCGCUGCAUUAGCUAGUUGGUAAGGUAACGGCUUACCAAGGCAACAGUGCAUAGCCGACCUGGGAGCGGGAAGCGCGACUGUGAGGGUGAGACGCGGUACAGGGACCGAGGGAAGGCAGAGGUAGGGAAGCGUCGGAGAUGUGCGGAAGCCUGACGGAUGGGCGCCGGCUGGAUGCUGAAGGGCUUCGGGUGGGAUGACGGUGUUAGUGGUGAAGAACAUAUGUGUAAGGAACUGUGCUCAUCUUGACGGUACCUACUGAGGAAGCCACGGCUAACUACGUG